CGGCGAGUGAAGCGGCAAUAGCUCAAAUUUGAAAGCUGGCGUCUUCGACGUCCGCGUUGUAAUUUGUAGAGGAUGCUUCGGCGAAGACUCCUGCCUAAGUCCCCUGGAACGGGGCGUCAUAGAGGGUGAGAAUCCCGUAUGUGGCGGGCAGUCUAAGCCAUGUGAAGCUCCUUCGACGAGUCGAGUUGUUUGGGAAUGCAGCUCUAAAUGGGAGGUAAAUUUCUUCUAAAGCUAAAUAUUGGCCAGAGACCGAUAGCGCACAAGUAGAGUGAUCGAAAGAUGAAAAGCACUUUGGAAAGAGAGUUAAAAAGUACGUGAAAUUGUUGAAAGGGAAGCGCUUGCAACCAGACUCGCUCGUAGUUGCUCAGCCGGCCUCUUGGCCGGUGUACUCUUCUACGAUCGGGCCAGCAUCAGUUCGGGCGGCAGGAUAAAGGUGUCGGGAAUGUAGCACCCUUCGGGGUGUGUUAUAGCCCGGCGCGGAAUGCUGCCAGCCUGGACUGAGGAUCUCGCUUCGGCAAGGAUGCUGGCGUAAUGGUUGUAAGCGGCCCGUCUUGAAACACGGACCAAGGAGUCUAACAUCUAUGCGAGUGUUUGGGUGUCAAACCCAUGCGCGUAAUGAAAGUGAACGGAGGUGGGAACCCCUCACGGGGUGCACCAUCGACCGAUCCUGAUGUCUUCGGAUGGAUUUGAGUAAGAGCAUAGCUGUUGGGACCCGAAAGAUGGUGAACUAUGCCUGAAUAGGGUGAAGCCAGAGGAAACUCUG
rnacentral:rRNA from 2 species